rnacentral:rRNA from 1 species
AUACGUAGGGGGCAAGCGUUGUCCGGAAUUAUUGGGCAUAAAGGGCGUGUAGACGGUCAUAUAAGUUACAGGUGAAAGCCCAUUUUUCGAGGAUGGAACUGCCUGUAAGACUGUAAGACUUGAGUGCAGGAGAGGGAAGCGGAAUUCCAAGUGUAGCGGUGAAAUGCGUAGAUAUUUGGAGGAACACCAGUGGCGAAGGCGGCUUUCUGGACUGCAACUGACGUUGAGGCGCGAAAGCGUGGGGAGCGAACAGGAUUAGAUACCCUGGUAGUCCACGCUGUAAACGAUGGAUGCUAGGUGUGGGGGGUAUCGACCCCCUCCGUGCCGGAGUUAACGCAAUAAGCAUCCCGCCUGGGGAGUACGGCCGCAAGGUUGAAACUCAAAGGAAUUGACGGGG